rnacentral:snoRNA from 1 species
AUCCUUUUUGGUUCAGUGUGUGUUCACAUUGUUGUGUGAGAUGUGCCUCCCUCUCAACCUUGUUAUGAUGUCAACACAUUAACCAUCUUAUA